UAAGCCAUGCGAGUCAUUGUAGCAAUACAAGGCGGACGGCUCAGUAACACGUAGUCAACCUAACUCGUGGACGUGGAUAACCUCGGGAAACUGAGAAUAAACCACGAUAGACCAUAGUGCCUGGAAUGGCUUAUGGUCCAAACAGUUUACUGCCAUGGGAUGGGACUGCGGCCUAUCAGCUUGUUGGUGAGGUAAUGGCCCACCAAGGCGAUUACAGGUACGGGCUCUGAGAGGAGAAGCCCGGAGAUGGGUACUGAGACACGGACCCAGGCCCUAUGGGGCGCAGCAGGCGAGAAACCUUAGCAAUGUGCGAAAGCACGACUGGGUCAGUCCGAGUGAUUCCUGAUAAAGGAGUCUUUUGCUUGUCCUAAAAGCACAGGUGAAUAAGGGGUGGGCAAGUCUGGUGUCAGCCGCCGCGGUGAUACCAGCACCUCGAGUGGUCAGGACGUUUAUUGGGCUUAAAGCAUCCGUAGCCGGCUUUGCAAGUCUUCGGUUAAAUCCACCUGCUCAACAGAUGGGCUGCUGGAGAUACUACAAAGCUAGGGAGUGGGAGAGGCAGACGGUAUUCAGAGGGUAGGGGUAAAAUCCUCUGAUCCAUUGAGGACCACCAGUGGCGAAGGCGGUCUGCCAGAACACGUUCGACGGUGAGGGAUGAAAGCUGGGGGAGCAAACCGGAUUAGAUACCCGGGUAGUCCCAGCUGUAAACGAUGCAAACUCGGUGAUGCAUUGGCUUAUGGCCAAUGCAGUGCCGCAGGGAAGCCGUUAAGUUUGCCGCCU
rnacentral:rRNA from 1 species